AGGUUAUUGUGUGGACACCUCCUUAACAGAUCUUUGAACCUCUCCUAAGCCUCAAAUAAUGACUCAAAAUUUGACUGAAUAAACAACGUGAUCUCCUAUCGCAGCUU